AGCGAACGCUGGCGGCAGGCCUAACACAUGCAAGUCGAACGAUCCUUCGGGAUAGUGGCGGACGGGUGAGUAACACGUGGGAACGUGCCCUUUGGUUCGGAACAACUCAGGGAAACUUGAGCUAAUACCGAAUGUGCCCUUCGGGGGAAAGAUUUAUCGCCAUUGGAGCGGCCCGCGUCUGAUUAGCUAGUUGGUGAGGUAAUGGCUCACCAAGGCGACGAUCAGUAGCUGGUCUGAGAGGAUGAUCAGCCACACUGGGACUGAGACACGGCCCAGACGCCUACGUGAGGCAGCAGUGGGGAAUCUUGCGCAAUGGGCGAAAGCUUGACGCAGCCAUGCCGCGUGAAUGAUGAAGGUCUUAGGAUUGUAAAAUUCUUUCACCGGGGACGAUAAUGACGGUACCCGGAGAAGAAGCUCCGGCUAACUUCGUGCCAGCCGCCGCCGUAAGAC
rnacentral:rRNA from 1 species